GAUGAACGCUGGCGGCGUGCCUAAUACAUGCAAGUCGAGCGAACAGACGAGGAGCUUGCUCCUCUGACGUUAGCGGCGGACGGGUGAGUAACACGUGGAUAACCUACCUAUAAGACUGGGAUAACUUCGGGAAACCGGAGCUAAUACCGGAUAAUAUAUUGAACCGCAUGGUUCAAUAGUGAAAGACGGUUUCGCUGUCACUUAUAGAUGGAUCCGCGCCGCAUUAGCUAGUUGGUAAGGUAACGGCUUACCAAGGCAACGAUGCGUAGCCGACCUGAGAGGGUGAUCGGCCACACGGGAACUGAGACACGGUCCAGACUCCUACGGGAGGCAGCAGUAGGGAAUCUUCCGCAAUGGGCGAAAGCCUGACGGAGCAACGCCGCGUGAGUGAUGAAGGUCUUCGGAUCGUAAAACUCUGUUAUUAGGGAAGAACAAAUGUGUAAGUAACUAUGCACGUCUUGACGGUACCUAAUCAGAAAGCCACGGCUAACUACGUG
rnacentral:rRNA from 1 species